GCACAAUUCGGAUGACAAAGACUCUCUUAAGGGUAUAAUUAUCUACUUUCCUCAUCAAUUGAUUUGUUUUCUUUGGGUGAGCCGAUCAUUUACUUUACAAAAGACAAUAAACUAUCGGAGAAGAGGAAGUCAACCAUCGGUGAGGAAGUUUCGGCAGAGAAGAAACUAAUGGUACGGUUGAAGCUUCAUGUAUAUGUGGUGUUUAAUUUUCAAU
rnacentral:lncRNA from 1 species